rnacentral:rRNA from 1 species
GACGAACGCUGGCGGCGUGCUUAACACAUGCAAGUCGAACGGAAAGGCCCUGCUUUUGUGGGGUGCUCGAGUGGCGAACGGGUGAGUAACACGUGAGUAACCUGCCCUUGACUUUGGGAUAACUUCAGGAAACUGGGGCUAAUACCGGAUAUGAGCUCCUGCUGCAUGGUGUUGGUUGGAAAGUUUCGGCGGUUGGGGAUGGACUCGCGGCUUAUCAGCUUGUUGGUGGGGUAGUGGCUUACCAAGGCUUUGACGGGUAGCCGGCCUGAGGGGGUGACCGGCCACAUUGGGACUGAGAUACGGCCCAGACUCCUACGGGAGGCAGCAGUGGGGAAUAUUGCACAAUGGGCGGAAGCCUGAUGCAGCAACGCCGCGUGCGGGAUGACGGCCUUCGGGUUGUAAACCGCUUUCGCCUGUGACGAAGCGUGAGUGACGGUAAUGGGUAAAGAAGCACCGGCUAACUACGUG